rnacentral:rRNA from 1 species
UUGUAAAGCUCUUUCAGCAGGAACGAAACGGUGGCCACUAAUACUGGCUACUAAUGACGGUACCUGAAGAAGAAGCACCGGCUAACUACGUGCCAGCAGCCGCGGUAAUACGUAGGGUGCGAGCGUUAAUCGGAAUUACUGGGCGUAAAGCGUGCGCAGGCGGUUCCAUAAGACAGAUGUGAAAUCCCCGGGCUUAACCUGGGAACUGCGUUUGUGACUGUGGGACUCGAGUGUGGCAGAGGGGGGUGGAAUUCCACGUGUAGCAGUGAAAUGCGUAGAGAUGUGGAGGAACACCGAUGGCGAAGGCAGCCCCCUGGGUCAACACUGACGCUCAUGCACGAAAGCGUGGGGAGCAAACAGGAUUAGAUACCCUGGUAGUCCACGCCCUAAACGAUGCGAACUAGGUGUUGGGGAAGGAGACUUUCUUAGUACCGCAGCUAACGCGUGAAGUUCGCCGCCUGGGGAG